AUAUUGCACAAUGGGGGGAACCCUGAUGCAGCAACGCCGCGUGAGGGAAGAAGGUUUUCGGAUUGUAAACCUCUGUCUUUGGUGACGAUAAUGACGGUAGCCAAGGAGGAAGCCCCGGCUAACUACGUGCCAGCAGCCGCGGUAAUACGUAGGGAGCGAGCGUUGUCCGGAAUUACUGGGUGUAAAGGGUGCGUAGGCGGGAUAGCAAGUCAGGCGUGAAAUCCAUCGGCUUAACCGGUGAACUGCGCUUGAAACUGUAAUUCUUGAGUGAAGUAGAGGCAGGCGGAAUUCCGAGUGUAGCGGUGAAAUGCGUAGAUAUUCGGAGGAACACCAGUGGCGAAGGCGGCCUGCUGGGCUUUUACUGACGCUGAGGCACGAAAGCAUGGGGAGCAAACAG
rnacentral:rRNA from 1 species